rnacentral:rRNA from 1 species
UACGGGGGGGGCAAGCGUUGUUCGGAAUUACUGGCGUAAAGGGCGCGUAGGCGGCCGGCCAAGUCGGGUGUGAAAUCCCUCGGCUCAACCGAGGAAUUGCAUCCGAUACUGGCUGGCUGGAGUCCGGGAGGGGAUGGUGGAAUUCCCAGUGUAGCGGUGAAAUGCGUAGAUAUUGGGAAGAACACCGGUGGCGAAGGCGACCAUCUGGACCGGAACUGACGCUGAGGCGCGAAAGCCAGGGGAGCGAAUGGGG